UACGGAGGAGGCAAGCGUUAUCCGGAAUUAUUGGGCGUAAAGCGUCCGUAGGUGGUUGGCCAAGUCUGCUGUCAACGGGUGGGGCUUAACCUCAUAAAGGCAGUGGAAACUGGCGAGCUAGAGUGCGGUAGGGGUAGGGGGAAUUCCCAGUGUAGCGGUGAAAUGCGUAGAGAUUGGGAAGAACAUCGGUGGCGAAAGCGCCCUGUUGGGCCUGUACUGACACUGAGGUACGAAAGCUAGGGGAGCGAAAGGG
rnacentral:rRNA from 1 species